rfam:Picea glauca, whole genome shotgun sequence.
CAUGUGAACAUCACUUGGACAUGGUCGGUUAGUUGAUCCUAAGAGAUGGGGAAUCCUUGUAUCAAGGGUGAACUCUGCAUGAACAUAAAAAUAUAAUUGGGUUAAUAUUCCCGAACCGGGACAUGGUGGUGGACGACAAUGUUAGGAAAUCUGGAGAUGUCAUCGGGGGCCUGGGAAGAGUUAUCUUUUCUUUUUAAUGAAUUUCCCACCCUGAAAUCGGUUCAACCAGAGAUAGGGUCUAACAUCUGGAAGAGAACCACAUGUCUUGUGGUGUUUGGUGCCCCCUCGACAGCCAUUGAAAAUAUGGAGAACCAAGUACCAUCCAUGACCGAUCAUACUCAUAUCUGCCUCC